rnacentral:rRNA from 2 species
UCUGGUGUCAGCCGCCGCGGUAAAACCAGCACCUCAAGUGGUCAGGAUGAUUAUUGGGCCUAAAGCAUCCGUAGCCUGCUUUGCCAGUUUUCGGUUAAAUCCAUACGCUCAACGUAUGGGCUGCCGGGAAUACUACAAAGCUAGGGAGUGGGAGAGGUAGACGGUACUCGGUAGGAAGGGGUGAAAUCCUUUGAUCUAUUGAUGACCACCUGUGGCGAAGGCGGUCUACCAGAACACGUCCGACGGUGAGGGAUGAAAGCUGGGGGAGCAAACCGGAUUAGAUACCCGGGUAGUCCCAGCUGUAAACUAUGCAAACUCAGUGAUGCAUUGGCUUGAUGCCAAUGCAGUGCUGCAGGGAAGCCGUUAAGUUUGCCGCCUGGGAAGUACGUACGCAAGUAUGAAACUUAAAG